CACUCCAGCCUAGGCAACAAGAGUGAAACUCUGCCUCAAAAAAAGAAAAGAGAAGAAAAAAAAAAAUAAAGGGGACAGAUAGCAGUCAUAGAGAUCCUACAGUACCAAACAGAAGUACUUGUACUUUGUUCUGAGAGUUUUGGGGCACAGUGAAAGUUUUUUAUGGAAGAAUGACAGGCCUAAAGUUUCCAAAAGGUUCAACUGGAAUGCGUAUUUUAGAUGACUGGGCCAGUGGGAAACUGAAGAUAGAGAAGCUAAGAUGAAGACCAUCGCUUUAGACUUGGGAAAAAAGUAAUAGAUGCAUGGAUGGGAGGUGGAAGGGUAUAAAAUGUUAGAGUAUUAGAAUUUAGAUAAUUUGGCAAAUCCUUUGUGUUCUUGUCUCAUAAUUGUAGGCUUCUGUUACCAGGGAGACAGAGUUGGAAAGGCACAGAAUGAAUGGUGAUAAGCUUUCAAACCGGCUCCUUUACAAUGACUUGACACAGAACAAGCACAUACAGGCUAGGAAAAAACUCUUCGGCUUACCGAAGCAAAAUUCUGUACGUCAAGAAAACAGAAAGGAGGCAUUUUGUGCUUCAUAAAGUUGAGGGGGUAGUAAUAAGCAUAGGGAUAAUAUUAUUGUCUUACAGUUCAGCAUGGAGAAAAAGAAAUAAUAUGGAACUCCUUACAGAGGGGAAUUACAAUAUCAUUAGAACAAACUGCAAUACUGAAAAGGAACUUCACAUUUCAGCAUUUCUUUUAUUUUUUUAAAAAAUGAAACUAUGAGAGAAACUAUAUAAAGGAGUCUCUGAGAAUAUCAUCUGCCUUCGUUAUAUUGUAGGAUUGACAGUUGAGGGCUUUUAGAGAUGCUUUCUUCAAUCAGCUUCAGUCAUUCAUUGGCGUUCAAUGCUUUAGGGCCAUAGUUUUAUGUAGAACAAUUUUUGUAUUUCCUGUUAUUCAACCAUAAUUAGAAAUGAAUGCAUGAAAAUCAGUAUUGACAAAGUAAUUUUACGAAUAAGUGAUUUGAACUAGUGACUUUUAAAGAAGUUCUGAAACUAAAUGGUAAAAAGCAAAUUUCUCAUUCAUCUAAUGACCCAAGUUUACAAGGAUUUGGUAAAAGUAUUGUUUUAAUUCAUAUACAAUUUUAAUUUAAUUGUAUUUUAUGAUAGGCAGCAUUAAUAGGGAAAAUAGAAUACAGAAGUCAAAUAUGAGGUCAAGGUUUUUACUUCUUCCUGAUUUCAAGCUAGAAAUUCUGAAUGGAUAGAAGGAAUGUCCUUGGGACUCAAAGUGAAGGUCAAAGUUGAGCCCUGCUUCCGUACUGGCUGAAGACCUGUAUGUGCAGCUCUCGCUCCUGUCAGCUGUGCUCAGGGGUUUCUCACUCACAGCACGCAGGAGGACAGAACCGUUUCAAUUUUUACAGAAUUCCUUCACUCAAGGAUGCUUCACUCAUUUUGCUUCCUGUUGAUUUUUGCCUUUACAAGUUAGCAAUUCUGGUUGCAAAGUGUAUUAUUCUGAAUGCUGAUCAUCAAUCUGGGAACCUGCUUCCAAAUGCAAGUGUAAGACAGUAUCGUGGGUACAAUGUAUUGAUAUCUGAUUACAUUUUUGGUGAAAGGGAAGAUAUGGACAAAGUGGCCACUUAAAAUGGUGACAGAAUUCAAGGCUCUUUUCUAUGAGAUCAACUGGGAAUAUUACAAAUAAAGAGAUCUUUGCUUCUGAUUGUGAACGCUGUAUGCAAGAUUCAUGAUAGAAUCUGUCACUGGAGGUAGAAAUAUCUCAGAUCCCCAUUACAUGUUCUGCGCUAGACAGAAGUCAUGUUCUAGAAACAGGAUUUUAGAUAACGAUUACCUCUGGCACAUCCGAUGUAUAUUACAUUGUCAACGAUUGAUGUUAAUGUUGAUGGCUGCUUGUAAUCAAGCAGAAUGCUCAGAUUUGGGAUUAUUUCAAAAGAACUUUAAUUACUAAGUUCCAUUAGCAGUUUGGGCAGCCUGGGAAAUCAAAGUAAUUGAUAGCAGUUUUUCUGAAGAUCUGUGCAGCAUUAGUACGAAGAAAACCUGUUAGCUUGGCAGGACAGUCUAAAGCUUAGGGAAGAAUUUAUAGUUGGUAGUUAAAAGGGCCUUUCAGAUACCAAUUAUUUUAUAUACUCAGUAAUCUUUUUGGCUUUUAUACACUAUUACUAUAUGACUAAGAUGGUAAAUCAAUGUGUGUACCAUAAGAAUAAGAACUUGUUUGAUUCGAAAUGUAUGGAUCUUUUAUUUCAGCAAAUACCUUUAGCACCUGCUUCUGCAGACCGUCGUGCACAGUUGAUGCAUGUGAUGAAUCAGUCAUAAUCCUGGCCCAGUAGGAUUUUACACUGGAGCUAGGUAGUUUCUCCAAUUGGAUAAAGAGUAGAAUGUAAUGAAAGUAUUCUGGGGAGGAUAGAAGCAAGCAUUUUAUACUUCAAUUUCAAUUUUAAUUUUCUGCCAUUUUCUCUGACAUGCUAUUCAGUCAUUAUACUUUUAAAACAUAAUAAUUAUUCUAGAUUCUGUGACAAAAUUCACAUUUAAUUCUAACAUUGUUUAAAGCACAUGUCCCAAAUUAGAUAUGGCUUAUAUGAAAUACAUCAUUUUUUAAAAACAGCUAAUUGCUUUCUAUAUCAGAAACUGUUAUUACAACAUUUUCAUGCCUGACUGAAGCAUUGCGUGCCUUAGACUACCAGACUUUAAUGAAGAAUUUUAAAAUGUUGACUAAAAGAAAACUAUUCAAUAUUUUGGUCUGCUGAAAGUUUUAUCAAGUAAUUAACAUUAAUUUACAUGUAAAGCAUCAUUCCUUUAAAUAUAUAUCUGUUGUGUAUUCAGUCUUCUGCAAUCGACUCUAUUAAAAACACCAACUUUUUUUUUGUCCGUGGUUAAAACAAAAAUGUAUGAAGAGAGUAAUAAAAUCUUUGGGGAAAACAUGCUACAGUUAAUAAUAUGUAGCAGCUGUAAAACCUGUGUAGUGAUUUGUAGGUAAUUAGCGAAAGGACUAACAGACCAUAUGGUCAAGCAUUAUGUAUUAGUUAUUUUUCCACAUGCAAAAAUAAUGUUAUAAAAUUGGACUUUCCUUAAUUAACUCAGCACUGAAACUUAGAUUUAUGCAUUGUAUUCUAUAAAUAGCUAAAAUAUAAUUUGUAAGUAUCUCAACACUUUGGGGAUAUUUUAGAUUGUGGUUUAAUCUGUGUAUGAAAGACAUAGCAAAAGCAUUUUCUUGUAUAUGAAUUGGGGCAGUACGGAACCCCUGAAAUGUCAGAUUAUUCAUUUUCCAUUCAUUAUGGAUCAUUAUCCAGAUUAAUGCUGAAAUAAUUAGUUUUAAAUUAGUCAUUGGUAGUGAUUCCCAGCAUGGAGUUUUCACAUAAUAAAAUAGUUGUAAAAUAGUAUGAGACAUUAUUUUAGUAUAGUUGCCUUAUAGAAAUGCCUUCAUUGGGUUAAGAUUAAACUCUAGUGAGGAUUAAUGUAGGUAACAUUACUUUGAACCAUAUUCGUGUAUCUUUUGCAAAAUGGAAAGCUGUUGUUCAUUAAAACAUUCAUUAGACCUUAUAUAUAAGAAUACACUUAUGGUUGAGCUAUUGCUUGAAAAUAAUGCAAUCAUUCCAGGUUAACUUUUUGUUAUUAUACAAUAAUAAUACCAUGCACUCUUAAUAUUUUUUUUCUUGUCUUAUCUGCCAGGAAUCACUUUCUCAUUCAAUACGAGAGCUCUGCCAUUUUCACCACUUGAUUCCUAAUGCUGUUGGAACAUAUGAUUUGCCUUGUAUUUCACAUAGACAUCUUCACUUCUCAGAUAUUCCAAUUUUAAUAAACCUUUCUACUCCAUCAUUUCCUGACUGCGGAUUAGGGAUAUUGAUACCCACCUAUUAGUAAUAUUUAGCUAAUUUAGGAAAUGCAUCUGAGAGUGUACAGCAAAACAUCUGGUACACAUUGAAUGCUCAAAAAAGGGUGGUCUCCUUUCUUCAUCUCCAAGGUUAUUUCUGUCUUACUUUGCCUCACAAUUAUAGCUUGUCUCAUUGAUGUCUUAACUGUAUCCAUCUUCAGGUCAUACAGUUAUGUUUCAGUUCCCUUUACCUUAAUUUUCAACUCUACCUUACCCUCAACCAGUUGUCCUUACUUCCUCUGUGUCUUCAUCGAAAGUUUCAGAAAGAAGGACCUUUGUUCUCUGCCUUAUUUCCCAUUCCUGAUUUCAUGACAGUCUGGCUUCUAACCCCACCAACUCUCAAAUUUUCCUCCAGUGACUUCCUUAUUGCUACAUCUAAAGACUUUUAUAGUCCUUAUAUAUUUUCUUCUGUUGACCUGAUGACAUUGUGUCCUACUCCCUGUAGCCCAUGUUCAUGGGCUCUUAGAGUCACUCGAGUGAUACCGAGUAGUUUGAUGUCUCCCUUUCCGUCUGCUCAGGUCUCUUGUUUUCCUGUUCGUUCUUUUACUGCUAUAUCCCAUACAGUGGCAUCUUAGACUCUUGACCUGGCCUCAACUACAACCUGUCCUGUGAUGACUCUGAGAUCUUUCCUAGUAUUCAAAACUGCCCACUCAUCAUCUCUAGUUGCUCCUGUGUUAUUGGUUAAUAUGCCCAAACAGUUCCAUAAGUUAUAAAUUCUUAAAAGUUACUGCAGAUUUUUGUGUCUCUCCGCCUAUUUGUUUUGCCACACCAUUGUGUCUAGUAAUAAUUUCUUCACUUGAGUUCACUCUGCCUAACUGCCCCGUUUUACCCUUCAUCAUCUCUCACCUCAGUCAUUAUAGUUGCUUAUUAACUAAUCUCUUGGUCACCAGUCUCCCUCGCCUCCAACUCCAGUUACCUUCCUUAAAUAAAGAAAAAGAAAUUGAUCCUAACACUCCCCCUGUUUACGAGCCACUGAUAACUUCUCAUUACCUAUAAAAUAAACUCCAAAGUAGGCAGUAUAAAGCUCUUCACAAUCUGGGGAAAUAAUUUCUUUACAAAUCAUUUCCUAUGACAAACCUUGAGUUGAUAGUAAAUAUUUUUGAAUAACUUCUUAAAACAUCUUCCAGGUCAUUGAGUGCUCUCUAUUCUGGGUGAAGCCAUCACAGACUGUUUCCUGAAUGUGCUUUCUUUUCACCUCUGCACCAUUGUGUGUGGUAGAUUCUUCAUAAGGAAGGACCUUGCAUCCUUCAAGACAGAGCCCAAGUAUCAAGUCCUCCUAGAAAGUGUCCAUCAUUUUCAGGGUAUAGUUAGUUACUCCCUCCUUGAAGUUCAGUUUGAGAUGAUAGGAUUAUGUGGUUGCAUCUCAGUCUCCAGCACUGCAUUGGAUUCUGUAGAACAGAGACUUUGUCUUGUUUAUCCUAAUGUUGGAUUCCCUCCAGGACAUACUACAUUUAAAACAUUGGUAAUUAUCUGCUAUUUGAAGCUUCUUUAGCUUGUUCAAAAUUUGAAUGGUCAGUUACUUUCAAGUUUUCAUUUUCAAAUGAAUAUUUUAUAGAAUAUAAUGCAGUUAAAGACAUGUGACGGGACUAUAUUUUAAUCAUCUUA